UGGUUGACCCAGAGCUGGAUUGGUAAUCAGAAGUUCCCCACCCUUCCGCUCUCCGUGGAAUGUACCUUCCGCCCACCAGUUCCACGGCGGGGUCGCUUUUCGAGGGCACAGCCUUGAGGGCACAACGUGUUGUUUAGACCGUCUAGAUGGUAUACGUGGCUGAACCCCGUUAAGGCAUCUAUAAACGGUCUGGUCUUACGGCUGCUGAAGACAAGCCUCGGAAUCUCAAACUGUAUUUUGAGUAAAGCCAAGAAGCCACGGGAGUGAAAGAAUAACGUGUGAGCUCCAAAUGCAUUUCUAAGAUGUCAAGCUUGUUGACUGGAAGCCUGCCUGCCAGAACAAGAUCCUUCUGCGAACACCAGAAACAAUCUGCUAUUGUCUCCUGGGAUGAAACGGUGCCAAUAAAGAAUGAAAACUCUGAGCCAAGAGGAGGAAUACCGCAUUAACUGCUUCACCACUAAAAGUAAUUAUGGGAAGGGAGAGACGGGGUAAAACCCUCUCCUUUGUUUUUAGCUUGCAAGGACACACAGAGCACAGAUGUGACCAGAGCAAAGCCUGCCAUGUGUCUUGGCCCAGUGGAGAGAAUGGUUCACUCCUGUGUGUGCACUGAUCAGGGUCAGAGCCCCUGCCUGCCUUCUGAGCACACUUGAUGCUGCCGGUGGAGAAAGCCGGGCACCCCCUUAGUUUCCUUUCCGCUUGGUUGUCUUGG